rnacentral:rRNA from 1 species
CAGCAGCCGCGGUAAUACAGAGGGUGCGAGCGUUAAUCGGAUUUACUGGGCGUAAAGCGUGCGUAGGCGGCUUUUUAAGUCGGAUGUGAAAUCCCUGAGCUUAACUUAGGAAUUGCAUUCGAUACUGGGAAGCUAGAGUAUGGGAGAGGAUGGUAGAAUUCCAGGUGUAGCGGUGAAAUGCGUAGAGAUCUUGAGGAAUACCGAUGGCGAAGUCAGCCAUCUGGCCUAAUACUGACGCUGAGGUACGAAAGCAUGGGGAGCAAACAGGAUUAGAGACCCCCGUAGUCCCUGUCUCUUAUAA